GGAUCGCAGGAGGCCCCCCUGGCCUUGCGCUUAGAGACCAGCAGGAAUGUGAGCUAUCAGAACGGGGAAGCAGCUGGGGAACAUCCUGGAAGUGGCAGUGAGUGCUGCCAGCCUUGUUAGAGCACCUGGGCUGAUUGCAGUUCGUGUCCAAGAACUUGGAACACAGCAGAGAAGUCUUCCACAGAAACCAGAUCCAUGCUAUAAUGACUUAAAUCGUCCCUUCAGAAGAAACACUAAUGAGACUCCUCACACUUUGCUGAUGUUCCUGUUGGAAGAAUAAUUAUCAUCUCCUUCUGAAAUCAGUAAUGAAAGUACUAGUAUUCAAACUGUGGUGCUUAAAUGUUCAAGAUUAGAGUCACAGGUUAGAUUACAUUCAGUCAUUUUGCUGCUGAACAGAGCUGUUGUCAAUUGUCAGUCUCAGGUUGUUUCAUGGUGUGGAAGAAGAGUUAGACAUUUAAGAAGGAUGUUGUCAGAAGAACAAAAAAAGCUAAUGUUGCUGGUGGGGAAAAAAAUUGGUGAAAAGUGUGAGUUUUGUUUUUUAUUACAGGUGAUGGAAAUGAGAUAGCUUCAUACCCAAACCCGGUAUCUAUAUGUUGUCCUGACUUGUGAGGAUGCCCUGAAGUCUGUGUGCCUGAACUUUUGAGCUCUGCUUAGGCAGUUUUUGUUUUCUCUUGAAGGUUUUUAGGGGAAUAGUAUGAGCUGUUGUUGCUUUGCCUGCCUGGUGAAUAAUUUGGACAUCCUGGCAGGACAAUGUCUGGGAGCACCAACUUAGCUUUUAGAGUGCCAACAGCUCUUGACAUGUACGUACAGUUUGGGAUUGCACUGUUAAAAUGCAAGUGGAUGCCCAGAAUACAGAUGCUGAAGAAAGAGUUCUGAUAUUCAAAAUCUGUAGGAAUUUAUGAAAGCUUGUAAAAGUUGUCCAGUCACGGAAAUGUAGAAGUGCUUUGUGGAUUUUAUUGGUAGAAACUUGAGUCCAAUGUGAAAUCUAAUGAUUAAGUCCUUUGCAAGUUUAUUUUGCUACUAGGCGGGUAAAGAAUUUAUAUUUUUUGAUUUAUAGAUUCCCAAGGGACUGUUAGCUUGAAAAGAAGAGUUCAUGUCAUAAUUGACUGAGGCAAAGAACAAGCAUCAGUUUAGGAUAAUUUAACUGAUAGAUGAUUUACAUGAUCCCAGCCAGUUGUUUGAGUAGGUAGUGAUAUAAAUAAUAUAAGGAAUACCUUUGGCAAAAAGUUGUGCUGGCAUCCAAGGGCAAGUGUUUGAGCCCUAGAUUUAACAAUUUGGAUGGAAUAUGAUAUUCAAAUUUGAAUGCAGAGUUCUAAACUAAACAUUAUUUAGACUUGACAGCUCCUAAUGUUCUGAUCUCUAUAUAUGCUUUUUAGAAAUAGAUGUUGUGAACGAUGGAACUGUGCUGAAGCUGUGUGAGCAGGCACCAUCUAGUAUAAUCCUUGAAAUAAAUGUGUAAAGUCUUCUGGAUAGUUAAGUUUCUUGCAACUGUUCUGUAUAACUGGAGUUUUUUUAGAAUUAUCUGCAAAUGCUUGAGACUUUUAAACAUGAGAGUGUGACCUCCAGUGGGAGCAUCUCCUGUAUCUUUGAACUUCAGGAGCUGUGCAUGCUAAAAACUUAAGUAGGCGCAAAAAAAGAUAGGGCAAAUUAAAGAAAGUAAAGUGUAAGAUACAAUCAUUAUGUUAAAUCUUGAGCCACAGGAAACUAGAGAUUGGGAUUAUAACUGUGUUCAUGUCCUUUUCUGUGCAUUCACUUUUGAUCAAUGUUGAAGAGCAGGAUCCUGGGCUUGAAACUUAAAAUAAUUCUUACAAAUUGUAACUUAAUUGCAAAUGCUGGAAGUGUCUUCUGGCCUUUCAUGAACUCUGGGAAAACCUCAGGACACUUUCUGCCUUUCCUGUGAUCUAGCUAGGGCGGACCAGCAAGAUCUGGGUAUAGUUAUCAUAACAGGAGUGUUUGUUGACUUAGCUUGACAGUCAGGAAUGGCUAGUUGUUCAGAAGUGGGAAGAGCA